UCCGGUGCGCCAAGUAUUGCCAGCAGCGAUGCCUGCUUACGUCUUCCUCGUGUGAUUCGCCAAGGCCGUGUCCUCCUCCUGAGAUAAGAAGAGCGACAAGGAGGUGGUCAGUCCAGCUCCUGCAACCAACACAGGUCGUUGCCCCUUUUGCCACAACGGCAGCAGCACAAACAUUAGUGUGGUCGUCCUCAACCAGUUCCUCACGCGGCCUCCGCGCAAGCCCUGCUCAUUUCAACAGGGGCGUGGGGUUCAGUUCGACGGUGACGACCCAGGCAGCCGGCCUUCGCAUAACGAAGUGGUGCAGUUUGAUCUUGUGUGAAUUGGAAAUCCCCUUAUGCUGAGUGUGUCAGUACAACCCUACGCUACAAGGCACGCGUACAUCCAC